GAUCCAGCCAUGCCGCGUGAAGAUAAGGUCCUAUGGGUCGUAAACUUCUUUUGACGCAGAGCAAUAAGGAACACGUGUGUUCCGAUGAGAGUAUGCGUCGAAUAAGCAUCGGCUAACUCCGUGCCAGCAGCCGCGGUAAUACGGAGGAUGCGAGCGUUAUCCGGAUUUAUUGGGUUUAAAGGGUGCGUAGGCUGUUGGAUAAGUCAGCGGUGAAAUCACCACGCUUAACGUGUUGUGUGCCGUUGAAACUGUCCAGCUUGAAUGCGCUCGUCGUGAGAGGAAUGUGUGGUGUAGCGGUGAAAUGCAUAGAUAUCACACAGAACACCGAUUGCGAAGGCAUCUCACGAGAGCGUUAUUGACGCUGAUGCACGAAAGCGCGGGUAUCGAACAGGAUUAGAUACCCGGGUAGUCCGCGCUGUAAACGAUGAUGACUAACCGGUUGGUCUGGUAUGGAUCAGUGGUCAAGCGAAAGCGUUAAGUCAUCCACCUGGGGAGUACGGCCGCAAGGCUGAAACUCAAAGGAAUUGACGGGGCCCGCACAAGCGAGAACAUGUGGUUUAAUUCGA
rnacentral:rRNA from 1 species